rnacentral:rRNA from 1 species
UUUUACGGAGAGUUUGAUCCUGGCUCAGGACGAACGCUGGCGGCGUGCUUAACACAUGCAAGUGGAGCGACGAACCAGGCUUCGGCCUGGGGCAGAGCCGCGAACGGGUGAGUAACACGUGGGCAACCUGC